UCAACAACAAGCUUCCAAGAUGCCGCCCAAAGGAAAAAGUGGUUCUGUAAAAGCGGGGAAAGGGGGAGCAGCCUCUGGGAGUGACAGUGCUGACAAGAAGGCUCAAGGUCCCAAAGGUGGUGGCAAUGCAGUAAAGGUCAGACACAUUCUAUGUGAAAAACAUGGCAAAAUCAUGGAAGCCAUGGAAAAGUUAAAGUCUGGGAUGAGAUUCAAUGAAGUGGCCUCACAGUAUAGUGAAGAUAAAGCCAGGCAAGGGGGCGACUUGGGUUGGAUGACCAGAGGGUCCAUGGUGGGACCAUUUCAAGAAGCAGCAUUUGCCUUGCCUGUAAGUGGGAUGGAUAAGCCUGUGUUUACAGACCCACCGGUUAAGACAAAAUUUGGAUAUCAUAUUAUUAUGGUUGAAGGAAGAAAAUAAAAUCAUAUGAAAGACUGAAAAAAAAAAAAAAAAAAAAA